GGGGGCGUGGUGUCAAUGGUAGCAUGACGGUCUCCAAAACCGUUGGACUAGGUUCGAAUCCUGGCGCCCCUG
rnacentral:tRNA from 1 species